UUAUUUUAAGUUAAUAGUGUACUGGUUAUAACUAAUAUCAAAUCUUUACUAAUACUUGAUUUCUUUUUAUGAUGGUUGACUUUGCGAGAACUAACGGAGCAUUAGUGUCAAGAAUGGGCUGAGAUUCGAAUUCAGUCGGUUUUUCGCUCUUUUUUGACAAAAAGGGAUCAAGAUCGGGACCGUCCAUUUGACUUCACACGGAUCACCAUCUGCUUUCUCUCUCAAUGCUCACACAUCUGACAAAAAGGGAUGCCAAAAGCAGGGAAGUACAAUCUACAGGAAAAAGCAACACUUUACUUUUGUGUGAAAGACAGCUUGCUUGCUGCAGUCUCUAUAAUAUAUCAACACUCUUCCAUACACUGUUUGAAAGACAGCACUGCUUCCUUCAGUCUCUAUAAAUAAUCCAGAGAUAUCUACACUCUACUCACACUUUACAAACUCUCAACUACACUCAACUGAAAUUAAUAUAUCAACUCUUUGCAUUCGGAUCUUGCGUUGUUUCUCGGCUCUCACAUCAAGGUUUUAAAAUUUUUGUCGGCUUUUCACAUCUCCCUCUUGCAUUGUUGUAAGUUCUUUCAAAUAUGACAUAGUGAAAGGAUAAAUUGUUUUUGUAGUUUUGAUUUUACUUUGUUCUGUUAUAUUUUGAUCUUUUCCUUCA